rnacentral:lncRNA from 1 species
CCUGCAGAUACAGUAGGAAGAUGGCAGUCUAUGACCAGGAAGAGGUUCCUCACCAUAACCCUACCAUGCUGGCACCUUGACCUUAGACUUCCAAACUCCAGAACUGUGAGAAAUGUCUGUUGUGGAUCAGCUACCCAGUUUAUGAUCGGCCCUUUCUUCAAAUAAGAGCAGUUGGAACAACAAAAGCUGUUCAGUUGUACCCUUGGAAUCCACGGAAAUCCUGGGUAGGGAAGCUCCAGUACCACCAACUGGAAAGACUGGGAAUGCCUAGUAGCUGGUACUGGCCAUUGUCGUAGGCUUUGUCCACUUUGACAAACUGAAGACGGGGACUCGACUCACCUUCGCCAGCCACAGGAGGACCUCCAGACGAGGACCGGACUCGCCGCCUUUCUUUCCCGUCAGAAAGGGAUCCCUUGCGGACAAGACCGAGUGGCCCCUAAGGCUUCUCUGCAGGUCCAACCGAAACAGGCCUGAAGUUCCAGGAUGGGCGAGAGGAUCCUCUUUGAGCGAAACCAGCCUUCUGCCUGGCUGGCCCUGGUCAACACACUCGG